rnacentral:rRNA from 1 species
UGCAGAAUCCCGUGAACCAUCGAGUCUUUGAACGCAAGUUGCGCCCGAGGGACCCUCCCGAGGGCACGCCUGCCUCAUGGGCGUUAGAAGCCCAUUCACGCUUGAUUGCCUCACGGCAAAGAUGCGGACAUUGGCCCUCCGAACCUCGAGGUGCGGUGGGCCUAAGUGUGUGGCCGUCGUAUGUGGCCGGGAGCGGCGAGUGGUGGGCUACUGCGCACGUCACCCCCAGCCCCGUACCGACACAGUGCCUUUUUUGACCCCUAACGAGGAGCUUGCCGUUGCGGCUUGCGCCGCGCGGUGCCUUCGGACCGAUACCCCAGGUCAGGCGGGGCUACCCGCUGAGUUUAAGCAUAUAAAUAAGCGGAGGAGAAGAAACUUACAAGGAUUCCCCUAGUAACGGCGAGCGAACCGGGAGCAGCCCAGCCUUAGAAUCGCGGUGGCACUGCCGCCCGA